rnacentral:rRNA from 1 species
UACGAAGGGGGCUAGCGUUGUUCGGAAUUACUGGGCGUAAAGCGCACGUAGGCGGGUUUGUAAGUAGGGGGUGAAAUCCCAGAGCUCAACUCUGGAACUGCCUUCUAAACUGCAAGCCUGGAGGUCAGGAGAGGCGAGUGGAAUACCGAGUGUAGAGGUGAAAUUCGUAGAUAUUCGGUGGAACACCAGUGGCGAAGGCGACUCGCUGGACUGAUACUGACGCUGAGGAGCGAAAGCGGGUGGGGAGAAACGGG